UCCAGUGGUAUAGUCAGCUGUCCAGAGCAGUACUGUGCCUGUGAUAGUGUUACACUGCUGGGAGAUAAAGAUCAGUCAUUUCUUCUGGCUGCUGUUGUCACCGUUCUGGAGACAGCAGGUGCCAAAAAGAAGUGACAUUGUGCUUCUCUGAGAGUGCACUAAAGAUUUGCUUUGCCUCUUUAGUGCUAGUCUGGAAGCAUACAAA
rnacentral:snoRNA from 1 species